UAAGCCAUGAUUUGACAACGAUGUUCAAAAAAAGAGAACCCAAGACAGAAAAGAGUCACAAAUACUAAUCUGCUUUAAAUUAGUAAAUGAAAUUGUAUGAUUAAUUUUAUCGAGGGUCUUAGCGAAAUCGGUGUAUAUUAUGCUUGACCAAAAUAAUUUUGUCCACAUAAAAUCAAAUAAGAACUGAAAUUUUUGAAGUAUUACAUUAGUAAAAAAAAGACUAUUACCCAUUGGUGCAACUAGAGGACAAAU